rnacentral:tRNA from 1 species
UAUGGGAUGCCUGAAAAAAAGGAUAAUUUUGAUAGAAUUAAUAAUGUGUUAGCCGCACUUCCAUAA